ACCCACACCCCAUCGACCAACUGGCACAGAACUGUUUGCUCGUAGAGGGGGGUGGGUGGCACUCUGAAGGCUAUCCAGCACGAUCCGGCCCUUUCCCUUGGCAAUUCUGUGACACUUUCCAAUCUAAGGCCGACAGAGCAAGGCAACCAGAUUUUUUUCUACAGCACCCUCCCAGGUGAGCAGUGGGCCUGGAGCCCUUCUGUAACCUGGCAUCUGUAGGUCUUCUCAUUAAGAACGAGAGUCAGAAGAGGAAAGGACUUAACACUCAUUACAACUCAGUCAUGGGGUGAGUGAGCAAUGCAAACAGGGAAAACUCACUCCCACUUGGCCAGGGUGCGGGGUGGGUAUGGGAGGGGGCAUGCGCCUAGGCCUUUGCGCUCAUUGGGCAGGUAGCCCCUAGAUAAUGUUCGGACAGCACCCACUCACCCACGCCUGGCCAGUCAGCUGGGACAGGCAGGCCUAAACCAGCCGGCCUCACCUAGAGGCGUCUGCCCCCGAGGCAGACACCGCCCGACGCCCUCGCUUCAGCGGUUCCCAGGAGAGCAGGCGGCAGAGACCAAGUGAUCUACCGCUAAACCUGAGCCCACCUCGACCCUAUUUCUGACGUGUCCUCUGCUAGCGGGGGGAGUGGGAGGGAGAGGAAGGGGCCUCGGGGGGAUGGAUCCCUUAGCCGCUAUUGUCAACUUCCUCGGCAGGAGUGGAUGUCUGUAAAGGUUGGAAGGUAAGGUGGCUCUGGGAAUGGCCUAGCACGCUUCCACGCGGUAGUCGCUCAAAAGUUUCAAACAAGACCUUGUCCUACUGGCCGUGCCACUGGGUCGCGUCGCUCCAGGUCUCCCCUCCUCCCCUCCCCCUCGAAGUAGUGUCCCUGCCACUCCGCAGUUCCACCACCCACGCGGGCCCCCACGCUCACCUGUUGCAGCACUUUGUCCAGGGACUCCGCCCGCGCUAGGCUGUCUGCGCUGAGUCCACUCGCCUCGCGGCAUUGUGGACUCAGGGCAGCCGCCUCGGCGCGAACUAGCGACUUGUGCAGCGUCCCCACCUAAAAGCACCGAGGGUAACCCCAUGAGCCGCUGUGCCUCAACAGGCUCUGAAGCGUCCCGAGGUCCCCUCUUUCCCACCCUACCUGUCGGCUGCGCGGCUCCACCACUUGCCAAACUAGGAGGAUUAAGUCGGUCUCGUCCGAGCCUAGGUCCGGCCCCAGCGCACCGGCAGUGGCCCCGAACAAAACCACCAGCGACUGAGGUUCGGGACAAGGGUCUGUGGCCGAGUCUACUGCGGGAUCUGGGCCCGGGGGUGGGGGCGGCGGCGGCGGCGGAGUCAUGGCCGCAGAGGAAGGGGGCGCUCGGCCACACACGCGGACCGACGAGGCGCACACACGUACCGACCGACAGCAGACAGACGAGCUUGGGCGGGAUCCGGUGUGUUGGGGGCGGCACCUGCGGCCGGGUGUAGUGGGAGCUGCAGAGACCCGCCCGCGGUGCCCUUUGGGGCUGGGCGGUGCGGCUGCCUAUCCCUGCCUACUCCGGCGAGUUACCUGCGGCCCGGAGAGGCCACGUGAUCAGGACGGCCCAGGGAACCCCGCGGGAGGGCCAAAACCCUGCCCAGGAGGCAAGAGCUCACUUCUGCUGAGGCGUGCGCUCGCCGGCUGGAGUCCCACCUCUUGCUGCAGUCCGGCGAGACUCCUGGGACGAAUCCAUUCUUUCUCCUACUUCCUCUCUAGCAGGCACUCUGAGUCCUCCGCAAAAGAAUGUGCAGGAUCAGAGGCCUCUUUCCAUUCUGCAAGGGUCACGCAAGACCCAUGGAAUUCAACAGGAGGCAAUCUAGGGACUAUAAAAGGUCGCGACGUCUGGCUUGAGGUUAAUGGAAGUUACAAAGGGUCAAAAGCCGACAGUGAGCGCUACCAGGCCGCCCUGUGGGCUCAGGAUAGUUUCCCACCUACUCGACUGUAAUUAGUACUCUGGCGAGAGUAAAAAGGUACUGGCGUGGGACUUAGAAUACAGGAUGCCACCGGCUGAAGAAGAACCUUGUGUGUUUGGAAAAGCGGGCUGCUUCCUAUCGGUCUUGGAUAAAAGGCAACCCAGAGCCCGGGUGCAUCCCUAACUCAUGCCCAAGGAAGGUCGUGCGGAGCCAGAGGACCUAGAAUGUAUAGUGCGCCUUCUGGGUUUGUCCACACAAUAGCGCAGGAACACAGCGACCCAAUAUAGUGAGAAGUGGCCGCAGCGCACACCCUGAGACCCUUCACCAGGCGGCCCACCCGGAGCCUGCCUACUCAGCCCCGCUACCACGAUAAGCCUGGAAUGUCAAAUAUUUGUUCUAGGAACCCAGUGAAACCUUGAGGUAAAGCCCCUCCCCUCCUCCCUCCCAUUCCGGAGCGCGCCUGCGUCAGUCCAGGCUUUCCGGUAAGGACACUCCCUUCCAACUAGUUCCUUCUCGACACCCCUGCAACCCAUCGUCCUGACUAUUUAAACUUCACAAGGUCUUCGCUACAGGCUCAGGUUCAGUGAGGCAGAGUCUUGGCUUCCCUACCCAGUUAUCCCAGAGCUACUGGUAUCGGUUUCUACCCACAACCUCCGAGCAAGGCUCCCCUUUCAACCUGUAGACCUCGCCUCCCGAUUCUCGGGAGAUCUUGCUGACUGUGGAAUCCCUGGCUGUUCCGAACCCCCUGGAAAGAAGCGGCUGUUCCCAGGUUUCUGCAAGGUAACGAAUCUGAAGAGUCAACAGAAUUGAGCGGCUCCAUUCAUUCGACUCUGGUUCUCUCAACCAGGCAUUCCCCAUAUUAAAACAAUUCCAG
rnacentral:lncRNA from 1 species